CACGUAGGGUGCGAGCGUUGUCCGGAAUUAUUGGGCGUAAAGAGCUCGUAGGCGGUGUGUCGCGUCGGCCGUGAAAACUUGGGGCUUAACUCUGAGCUUGCGGUCGAUACGGGCAUCACUGGAGUUCGGCAGGGGAGACUGGAAUUCCUGGUGUAGCGGUGAAAUGCGCAGAUAUCAGGAGGAACACCGGUGGCGAAGGCGGGUCUCUGGGCCGAUACUGACGCUGAGGAGCGAAAGUGUGGGGAGCGAACAGG
rnacentral:rRNA from 1 species